rnacentral:rRNA from 2 species
UUUCCGUAGGUGAACCUGCGGAGGGAUCAUU